rnacentral:lncRNA from 1 species
GGAGCUGGACGUUUCCUUCAUCUGGAACAGCGCUCAGUACCUUUUCCUCUGCUGCCCAACGAGCCGGCCGAAGGCGCAGGCCGAGGGGUCGAGCUGGCCCGAGAGCCUGCGGAUGUGUGUGCAUCCUGCCGGAAGCAGCAGGGCUGAGCAGGAAGUUGCAAUUACAAGAGGGCAGGGCUUCUGCAGAAGCUGAGCGGUGCUGGCUCAGAGCAGCCAGGGCUUAUCCAAGGAAGGUAUGUGCGGGGGCUCCCGGGACCAGGAAUCGAACCGGCGCCACAGCAGUGAGCCGAGCCACUGCAGCAAUAAUGCCAGAUCCUUAACCCUCAGCACCACAAGGGAACUCCUCGACUGCUUCUUAACUUUUCAAGAUAAUUAUCAUUUGGGAUGAAGUUUCUUACUCUUGAAUCAGAGCCAAGGGACCUUUUUUUUUUUUUUUUUCAUCCUCUUCCCUGACCAGCUCCUCCUUGUUCACUUCCUCCAGAACCCCUCCACGCAGCCUCCACGCCCCUCUCUGAAGAGUGACCCAUACCUCGUCACCCACUGGCUUCAAGAUCGCCACUGACCCCCCGCCUUUUCCUGCAAGGAGCACCGCAGCCUGCAGGGUCAGCUCCAUCCUCCGGAGUCCUCCGGAUGCAGCCCGGCCUGAAGUCCUUCCUGAACACCUGUCGUCAGCAUGACAGUGGAAUCUCUCAUAAUCAGCUUCAACUGGUUCCAAGCCAGGGGACCCCCGGGCACUUGCCCAGGAUGGUUGGAGUUCACGCCGGCUUAUGCUGCUGUUCUUGCUGGUGAAUGGUGUCCCCCGCUUCUCUCACAAAUGUCCUGCUUUGGAAAAUAAGUCAUAUGGUUACC